CAAUUAGUGACAAUGUGGAUUAAAAGGAGUUUGAUUUAGAGGAUCUGGCCAAAACUAAUGUUUGCACAAGUCUUCUAAUAAAUAUUUGUGUUUCCACACAGGGCAUCAAUGCCAAGUUUGGUAAAUUAACCUCUCCUGCAUUUUCCACCCUUGGUUCCAAUAUUUGGUGUAUUCUAAUGAUGGAGAACUUGACAGCAUGCAUUCAUAACACCACACAUUCUUUUGUUCAAAAUACUUCACACUAUGUUUAAUAAAGUGUCAUCACAUUUUCCCUUUUGUUGAACUUUAAU